CGGGGGGAGCAAGCGUUGUUCGGAUUUACUGGGCGUAAAGGGCGCGUAGGCGGCCACCGCAAGUCGACUGUGAAAUCUCCGGGCUUAACCCGGAAAGGUCAGCCGAUACUGCGGGGCUAGAGUGCAGAAGGGGCAACUGGAAUUCUCGGUGUAGCGGUGAAAUGCGUAGAUAUCGAGAGGAACACCUGCGGCGAAGGCGGGUUGCUGGGCUGACACUGACGCUGAGGCGCGAAAGCUAGGGGAGCGAACGGGAUUAGAUACCCCGGUAGUCCUAGCCUUAAACGAUGAAUGCUUGGUGUCUGGGGUUUUAUAGUCCCCGGGUGCCGUCGCUAACGCUUUAAGCAUUCCGCCUGGGAGUACGGUCGCAAGACUG
rnacentral:rRNA from 1 species